UAAUGGCAGGUCAGCAUACUGCCGUGAAUACGUUCCCGGGCCUUGUACACACCGCCCGUCACACCAUGAGAGUUGGGAAUACCCGAAGCCUGUGAGCCAACUAUAUAGAGGCAGCAGUCGAAGGUAGAAUCAAUGAUUGGGGUGAAGUCGUAACAAGGUACC
rnacentral:rRNA from 1 species